CCUCGGUUCUGCGGCAAGGCCACGCUCUGCAAACAGGGAGUUUCUGAGAGGGAAGCUGGUUUUUGGUGCCAUAAAUGGCACUUUUCGGUCACUGCCUUUCCAACCCGCACCCUGCGCCCGCUUGCCGGGGGCGACGCAUAUCGGCCUUUUUAUUCUCUGCAACUCGAACCCCUUUGCUGUUUCACGACUGAAUGCUCUCUGUGUGUGUGUGUGUGUGUGUGUUCAUGUGCUCACGUGCUCACGGCACUGGCCAUCUCCUCUUUUUCUCUCCCUAUCAGACUCCCAUCCGCAGCCAAGGGGCCCCUCCUCAGACGAUACCCUCAGCUCCUGUGAAACGCCUUUUACUCCGUGGGAAAACAAACGUUUUCAUGUUCAUAGGUGAGAUGAAAGCUAAACCUGCAUGCCUUUGCUGCAGGACAUGGUUACCGUGCAAUGUCUCUGCAACCCUGCGUCUCACAUACAGCCUGUCUGCGGACUUGAACCUGCAACAGUUCACGUCCUUGACCAUUACACUAGUUGUUUCUUCUAACUGAAGUAAAUGACUGUAUCUUUCAACAUUUUAUUCCUUAUUUUACCCAAAAAAAAUUAAAAUACAACCGUCGAAGGUGGCCUGUCCUUUACAGGUGUACCCCUAUGUAGGACGUUCAGUGACACAGCACCACACAUCCAUGUCCCAUCUAUGUUUCACAACUGCGGAAGCCCGAAGAGCGCAAGUUCAUAACAAAGAAGGAUUUAUGCCCCGAGUCACGAUGCAGUCGGGGAUCCAGCCGACAUACUCAAACGCCGAUGCGUGUUGGCUCAGCGGGGCAACCAAGAGAAUAGCCGGGGACAGGCGAGGAUCGAUCGAUCAUUGUACGUUGAUCCGAGGAGUAGACGAGAGCCAGAGUUGAGGUCACGGAGUCGAGAGCUGAAGAACUGGGAAAACCAAAACCAAGGGAGCGCAGGAUGGGGAAGGAGAGGGGAACAAUAC
rnacentral:lncRNA from 1 species